rnacentral:rRNA from 1 species
CAUCUACGGAGAGUUUGAUCCUGGCUCAGGACGAACGCUGGCGGCGUGCUUAACACAUGCAAGUCGAACGAUGAAGCCAGCUUGCUGGUGGAUUAGUGGCGAACGGGUGAGUAACACGUGGGCAACCUGCCCCCGGCUCUGGGAUAACUCCAAGAAAUUGGUGCUAAUACCGGAUAUUCACGCUUCCUCGCAUGGGGUUGUGUGGAAAGUUUUUCGGCUGGGGAUGGGCCCGCGGCCUA